CCUACGGGUGGCAGCAGUGAGGAAUAUUGGUCAAUGGGCGCGAGUCUGAACCAGCCAAGUCGCGUGAGGGAAGACGGCCCUAUGGAUUGUAAACCUCUUUUGUCGGGGAGCAAACGGCGCCACGCGUGGCGUUUUGAGGGUACCCGAAGAAAAAGCAUCGGCUAACUCCGUGCCAGCAGCCGCGGUAAUACGGAGGGUCCGAGCGUUAUCCGGAUUUAUUGGGUUUAAAGGGUGGGCAGGCGGAAGAUUAAGUCGGCGGUAAAAUUGAGGGGCUAAACCUCUUCGUGCCGUUGAAACUGGUUGUCUUGAGUGAGCGAGAAGUAUGCGGAAUGCGUGGUGUAGCGGUGAAAUGCAUAGAUAUCACGAAGAACUCCGAUUGCGAAGGCAGCAUACCGGCGCUCAACUGACGCUGAUGCACGAAAGUGUGGGUAUCGAACAGGAUUAGAUACCCUAGUAGUC
rnacentral:rRNA from 1 species